AGGAGGAAUAGAAUAGAAGAAGUAAUCUCUUUGUUCUGAUGGCACUCACCAAGAGCACUACAACACGAUCGACAACUGUGUGGUCUGUGGUUGUUGCAUUCCUAGUGCUUGCUAUGAUAUGUUCUACUUUGCGAUCCUGCCAUGCACGCAUUGAACCUAAUAAACCGCCGGUGUGCGUGCGGAUGGAUCCAUGUUUCGAGCGCACUACAUGCUGGGAAAUGUGCGUGGAUAUGGGUUUCCGUGUCCCUCAUCCCCGUUGUAAGGGGAGUGUAGAUCGGCUUUGUUGCUGCCUAGACAGGACCCGUACAACUCAUUGAUGGUUCUCUUCCUGAGCUAUGCAAUGCUGAAUAACUGUAUGCUUGUGAUGAGCGUGUGCUGAUCUUAAUAAAAAAAUAUUUUUUCA